CCCGUGCAGCGUGUCGCUGGGCGCGGUGGAGUGCAGAGAUUGGGGAACGAGCUGUACAGAAGCGGCAGCUUCGCGGAGGAGCUGGCGCUGUGCGAUUGCGCCAUCGCCAUCUCGCCGGGGAACACCGCAUGCCGGAGCAACUGCGCGGCGGCACUCACGGCGGUCAGGAGGCUCAGCAAUGCCGCGAGGGAGUGCCUUAAGGCUAUGAAGUUGGACCCUGCUUAUGUCAGAGCUCAUAAGAGACUUGCUUCACUUUAUCUUAGGUUUUGACAGGUUGAAAAUUCGCGGCGGCACUUGUGUCUCUAUGGGAUUCACGAGGAUCAAUCUGAGGAGCAGAAGCUAUUGUUAUUGGAGAAGCAUUUAAAUCGUUGUGCUGAUGCAAGAAAAUUUGGUGAUUGGGAGAUGGCGCUUAGGGAAUCAGAAGCAUCCAUUGCUGUUGGAGCAGAUUUUUUGCCUCAGCGCAAAAUUUUAGGAUUGUUGAUGUGUGAUUGAUUUCUGUUUCCAAAAGCUGUUUGGAGUUUUCAAAAUGCAACUAAACAAGGUUGCUAAGAAAGCUGGUGGAGGCUUGAAGAAGGCUAUUGAUUUCUACGAGGAAGUGAAGGCAAAGCAUCCUAAGAUUACAUAUGCAGACCUCUACCAGGUGAUCAUUUGUCUUAAUUCAGUUGUUGUGAAAGUCUAUUGAAUCUGAUAAUUUUGUAUUAAAUUUGUUAGGUGAAAACUGAAAAUCGUAGAAUGGGGUUAAUGGACUUCUAAAUUUGCCUGGGAUGUGCAUGAUAAUUGAUUCAGGGUUCCGUUUUCUGCCACGUUCAAUUAAAAUUACUCUUUUUG